UACGUAGGGUGCGAGCGUUAAUCGGAAUUACUGGGCGUAAAGCGUGCGCAGGCGGUUCGUUAUGUCCGAUGUGAAAGCCCCCGAGCUCAACUUGGGAAUGGCAUUGGAAACUGGCGGGCUGGAGUGUGGCAGAGGGGGGUGGAAUUCCGCGUGUAGCAGUGAAAUGCGUAGAUAUGCGGAGGAACACCGAUGGCGAAGGCAAUCCCCUGGGCCUGCACUGACGCUCAUGCACGAAAGCGUGGGGAGCAAACAGG
rnacentral:rRNA from 1 species